AGCGAACGCUGGCGGCAGGCUUAACACAUGCAAGUCGAACGGGCGUAGCAAUACGUCAGUGGCAGACGGGUGAGUAACGCGUGGGAACGUGCCUUUUGGUUCGGAACAACUGAGGGAAACUUCAGCUAAUACCGGAUAAGCCCUUACGGGGAAAGGAUUUAUCGCCAAAAGAUCGGCCCGCGUCUGAUUAGCUAGUUGGUGAGGUAAUGGCUCACCAAGGCGACGAUCAGUAGCNGGUCUGAGAGGAUGAUCAG
rnacentral:rRNA from 1 species